GAUGAACGCUGGCGGCGUGCCUAAUACAUGCAAGUAGAACGCUUAAGGAGGAGCUUGCUCUUCUUGAUGAGUUGCGAACGUGUGAGUAACGCGUAGGUAACCUGCCUGGUAGCGGGGGAUAACUAUUGGAAACGAUAGCUAAUACCGCAUGACAGCAGUUAUUGCAUGAUAACUGUUUAAAAGGGGCAACUGCUCCACUACCAGAUGGACCUGCGUUGUAUUAGCUAGUUGGUGAGGUAACGGCUCACCAAGGCGACGAUACAUAGCCGACCUUGGAUGGUGAUCCGGCAAAAUGGGACUGAGAAAAGGGCCAGACUCCUAAGGGAGGCAGCAGUAGGGAAUCUUUGGACAUGGACGGAAGUCUGAACGAGCAAAGGCGGGGGAGUGAAGAAGGUUCUCGGAUUGUAAAGGUAGGUUGUAAGGGAAGAAAGAGUGUGAGAGUAGAAAGUUCACACUGUGACGGUACCUUAACAGAAAGCGACGGCUAACUACGUG
rnacentral:rRNA from 1 species